rnacentral:rRNA from 1 species
UAUGUGAUCGUCUCUCGCAUAUCAAUAAGCGGAGGAAAAGAAACUAACAAGGAUUCCCCUAGUAACGGCGAGUGAAGCGGGAAGAGCUCAAAUUUGAAAUCUUAAAGGGUUUCCCUUUACGAGUUGUAGUUUAAAGAAGUGUUUUCUGUUGAGGUUUUGGUAAAAGUUCUUUGGAAUAGGACAUCAUAGAGGGUGAGAAUCCCGUAUUUGACCUUUACUUUCAACUUUGUGAUACACUUUCAAAGAGUCGGAUUGUUUGGGAAUGCAGUCCAAAAUGGGUGGUAAAUUUCAUCUAAAGCUAAAUAUUGGCGAGAGACCGAUAGCGAACAAGUACCGUGAGGGAAAGAUGAAAAGAACUUUGAAAAGAGAGUUAAACAGUACGUGAAAUUGUCAAAAGGGAAGCGUUUGACACCAGUGUUGUUUUUCUGAAAAUCAAUUAAAGAACUGUUUAUGCUAAGUUGUUUAGACUUUAUCAGCUAACUGUUUAGUUUUGAGCUUUUCUUUAAUGCACUUUUCAGUUAACAAGUCAACAUCAAUUUCUUUUGCUGUAAAAAAGCUUGAGGAAGGUGGCUUGAGAUUCGUCUUAAGUGUUUAUAGCCUCUUGCCUAUGCAGUCGGAGAGAUUGAGGUCUGCAGCGUAGAUCCUUCGGGGCUAAAUGCAUUUGUGCUAAGUUAUAGCAUUUUAUAGACAACUUGUUGACUAUGAUUUGUCUUGUAGCUUACUCGCUUAUGUUAUUUUACCUACGCUUAGGAUGUUGACACACGCGCGUGCUCGACUCUAUACAUGUACUCUGCGCAUAUCAAUAAGCGGAGGAAAAGGCUGCGGAACUGAACGACCGCUACCUACGCUUAGGAUGUUGACACACGCGCGUGCUCG